rnacentral:tRNA from 1 species
CCGUCAGACUGUGAAUCUGAAGAUAGGMUGUAAAAAUCCUUAUUUACC